rnacentral:rRNA from 1 species
GCACGGAGUUAGCCGUCCCUUAUUCCUCGUAGGUACCGUCAAAAUGGAAGCAUUUCCUCUUCCACCAUUUCUUCCCCCAGAAAAGAGCUUUACAGACCGAAAUCCUUCGUCACUCACGCGGCAUUGCUGGAUCAGGCUUGCGCCCAUUGUCCAAUAUUCCCUA